rnacentral:rRNA from 1 species
AUUGAACGCUGGCGGCAGGCCUAACACAUGCAAGUCGAGCGAGCGGCGGACGGGUGAGCAAUGUAUGGGGACUGCCCGAUAGAGGGGGAUAACCACUGGAAACGGUAGCUAAUACCGCAUACUAUCGGAUAACCCAUAUGGGAUUAGCUAGUAGGGGAGGUAAAGGCACACCUAGGCGACGAACCCUAGCUGGUCUGAGAGGAUGAUCAGCCACACUGGGACUGAUACACGGUCCAGACUCCUACGGAGGCAGCAGUGGGGAAUAUUGCACAAUGGGCGCAAUCCUGAUGCAGCCGUGCCGCGUGUAUGAAGAAGGCCCUCGGGUUGUAAAGUACUUUCAGUCGGGAGGCGUUACCGACAGAAGAAGCACCGGCUAACUCCGUGCCAGCGGCCGCGGUAAUAC